UCCCUCAUAGCUAAGUCGGUAAAGAAUCUGCCUGCAAUGCAGGAGACUCAGGUUUGAUCCCUGGGUCGGGAA
rfam:TPA: Bos taurus chromosome X, whole genome shotgun sequence.